UACGGAGGAUCCGAGCGUUAUCCGGAUUUAUUGGGUUUAAAGGGUGCGUAGGCGGAAGGAUAAGUCAGUGGUGAAAGUUUGCAGCUCAACUGUAAAAUUGCCAUUGAAACUGUUUUUCUUGAGUGCAAAUGAGGUAGGCGGAAUGUGUAGUGUAGCGGUGAAAUGCAUAGAUAUUACACAGAACUCCAAUUGCGAAGGCAGCUUACUGGGAUGCAACUGACGCUGAUGCACGAAAGCGUGGGGAUCAAAC
rnacentral:rRNA from 1 species